rnacentral:snoRNA from 1 species
AUCCCAUGAUGAGUACACUCGAGUAUGUAGUCUUGAAAGCGCUCCCAAGCUUCUAGGACUAUCUCAUAAUGUUGUUGCUGAUAACUCGAUAUCUUCCUACACAGAGCAU